GGUGGUUUCUUAAGUCUGAUGUGAAAGCCCACGGUUCAACCGUGGAGGGUCAUUGGAAACUGGGAGACUUGAGUGCAGAAGAGGAAAGUGGAAUUCCAUGUGUAGCGGUGAAAUGCGUAGAGAUAUGGAGGAACACCAGUGGCGAAGGCGACUUUCUGGUCUGUAACUGACACUGAGGCGCGAAAGCGUGGGGAGCAAACAGGAUUAGAUACCCUGAG
rnacentral:rRNA from 1 species